rnacentral:rRNA from 1 species
GAGCGAACGGAUCAGGAGCUUGCUCCUGAANAUGUGAGCGGCGGCUGGGUGAGUAACACGUGGGUAACCUGCCUGUAAGACUGGGAUAACUUCGUGGAAACCGGAUCUAAUGACGGAUAGUUUCUUUUCUCGCAUGAGAGAAGAUGGAAAGAUGGUUCUGCUAUCACUUACAGAUGGACCCGCGGCGCAUUAGCUAGUUGGUGAGGUAGUGGCUCACCAAUGCGACGAUGCGUAGCCGAUCUGAGAGGGUGAUCGGCCUCACUGGGCAUGAGACACGGCCCAGACUCCUACGGGAGGCAGCAGUAGGGAAUCUUCCGUAAUGGACGAAUGUCUGACGGAGCAUCGCCGUGUGAGCGAAGAAGGCCUUCGGGUCGUAAAGCUCUGUUGUUAGGGAAGAACAAGUAUCGGAGUAACUGCCGGUACCUUGACGGUACCUAUCCAUAAAGCCACGGCUAUCUACGUGCCAUCAGCCGCGGUAAU